rfam:Sus scrofa chromosome 3.
CAACAGGAUCUUUUUGGAUCCAUCUCCUAGAGUAAUGGAAAUAAAA